rnacentral:rRNA from 1 species
AGCCAGACUCCUACGGGAGGCAGCAGUGGGGAAUAUUGCACAAUGGGGGAAACCCUGAUGCAGCGACGCCGCGUGAGUGAAGAAGUAAUUCGUUAUGUAAAGCUCUAUCAGCAGGGAAGAAAAUGACGGUACCUGAGUAAGAAGCCCCGGCUAACUACGUGCCAGCAGCCGCGGUAAUACGUAGGGGGCAAGCGUUAUCCGGAUUUACUGGGUGUAAAGGGAGCGUAGACGGCAGUGCAAGUCCGGAGUGGAAGCCCGGGGCUCAACCCUGGGACUGCUCUGGAAACUGUAAAGCUGGAGUGCGGGAGGGGCAGGCGGAAUUCCUGGUGUAGCGGUGAAAUGCGUAGAUAUCAGGAGGAACACCGGCGGCGAAGGCGGCCUGCUGGACCGUAACUGACGUUGAGGCUCGAAAGCGUGGGGAGCAAACAGGAUUAGAUACCCUUGUA